rnacentral:rRNA from 1 species
UAAUACGUAGGCAGCAAGCGUUGUUCGGAGUUACUGGGCGUAAAGAGUGCGUAGGCGGUUCUCUAAGUUCGGUGUGAAAUCUCCCGGCUCAACUGGGAGGGUGCGCCGAAGACUGGAGAGCUUGAGUGUGGGAGAGGAAAGCGGAAUUCCUGGUGUAGCGGUGAAAUGCGUAGAUAUCAGGAGGAACACCUGCGGUG